UAGUCUUGUCCAAGACCUGCCCCCUCUUUGGCUCGUCGAGAACUUCUUGACUCCUGAUUCUGCUGGGCCUUCAAGGCGCAAUCUGGCUGCCUCGAUUCUUCCCAGACACAAAGGCUGUGCCUUUUGGAUCUGCCAUGCACCUGAGUCCAAACGAUCGUCUCCGUGUUGAAUGGGACAGGGUGGAGGACAGUGCGUCCCUCACGAUCCGGAUGCCUUCCUACCAGGCGACCUGUGUCCACAGGGAACUGUCCUCAGUUGGGGAGAAAGGGUGUUCCUUCCUGCUCCCACAGGUGACUCAGACCCAAGUCAACUUGGCCACUGCCUCUGGCUUCUGUGGAAACCCCCAGAAGAGCCCAAUGCAUCCAGGUGAGUCGGGACUAUCUCCAGCCUUGAGGCAGCUCUUUUCCAUUCCUUGGCAAGUUUAUUUCCAGUACAGAAACAACCCCACACUCGCCGUCUCUGUCUGUGCCCUUAUCCCAUUAACCCCAGGCCCAUUUAAUCCACCUCACUUCCCUCUGCUUGUAGAGAGAACACGGGGACUUUUUUUUUCUUUUCUUUCUUUUUUUUUUCUUUUUCUUUUGAGACAGGGUCUUGCUAUGUAG
rnacentral:lncRNA from 1 species